rnacentral:rRNA from 1 species
AAUCAACGCUGGCGGCGUGCCUCAGACAUGCAAGUCGAACGCGAAAGCCUCCUUCGGGGGGCAAGUAGAGUGGCGCACGGGUGAGUAACACGUAGGUAAUCUACCUUUGGAUUGGGAAUAACCACCGGAAACGGUGGCUAAUACCGAAUAAUGCAGCGGCACCUAAUGGUGACAGUUGUUAAAGCGGGGGAUCGCAAGACCUCGCGUCUGAAGAGGAGCCUGCGGCAGAUUAGCUAGUUGGUAAGGUAACGGCUUACCAAGGCGAUGAUCUGUAGCCGGCCUGAGAGGGCGGUCGGCCACACUGACACUGACAUACGGGUCAGACUCCUACGGGAGGCAGCAGUCGGGAAUUUUGGGCAAUGGGCGAAAGCCUGACCCAGCAACGCCGCGUGAAGGAUGAAAUCCUUCGGGAUGUAAACUUCGCAAGAACGGGAAGAAUAAGUAAGAGCUAACAUCUCUUACGAUGACGGUACUGUUUGUAAGCCCCGGCUAACUCCGUGCCAGCAGCCGCGGUAAUACGGGGGGAGCAAGCGUUGUUCGGAUUUACUGGGCGUAAAGGGCGCGUAGGCGGCCACCGCAAGUCGACUGUGAAAUCUCCGGGCUUAACCCGGAAAGGUCAGCCGAUACUGCGGGGCUAGAGUGCAGAAGGGGCAACUGGAAUUCUCAGUGUAGCGGUGAAAUGCGUAGAUAUCGAGAGGAACACCUGCGGCGAAGGCGGGUUGCUGGGCUGACACUGACGCUGAGGCGCGAAAGCUAGGGGAGCGAACGGGAUUAGAUACCCCGGUAGUCCUAGCCUUAAACGAUGAAUGCUUGGUGUCUGGGGUUUUAUAGUCCCCGGGUGCCGUCGCUAACGCUUUAAGCAUUCCGCCUGGGGAGUACGGUCGCAAGACUGAAACUCAAAGGAAUUGACGGGGACCCGCACAAGCGGUGGAGCAUGUGGUUUAAUUCGACGCAACGCGAAGAACCUUACCCAGGCUCGAACGGUGAUGGACAUCCGGCGAAAGCCGGCUCCCGCAAGGGCCGUCAUCGAGGUGCUGCAUGGCUGUCGUCAGCUCGUGUCGUGAGAUGUUGGGUUAAGUCCCGCGACGAGCGCAACCCUUGUCCGCUGUUGCCAUCAGGUUACGCUGGGCACUCUGCGGAGACUGCCGGUGAUAAACCGGAGGAAGGUGGGGAUGACGUCAAGUCAGCAUGGCCUUUAUGUCUGGGGCUACACACGUGCUACAAUGGCCGGUACAAACCGUCGCGAUCUCGCAAGAGGGAGCUAAUCGGAGAAAGCCGGUCUCAGUUCGGAUUGCAGGCUGCAACUCGCCUGCAUGAAGUUGGAAUCGCUAGUAAUCGCGGAUCAGCACGCCGCGGUGAAUACGUUCCCGGGCCUUGUACACACCGCCCGUCACAUCACGAAAGCCGGCUGUACUAGAAGUCGCCGAGCCAACCCGCAAGGGAGGCAAGCGCCUAAGGUAUGGUCGGUGAUUGGGGUG